AGGAUUUUAAGUUAUUUAAACUGUAAACCUUCAAAGUUUUUUAAAAAAGACCAACCUUUUAAAUCCUA
rnacentral:tRNA from 1 species